GCCACAUGAUGUUACUAGACUUUUUGAGCACUCUGUGCAAAGAUGACACACAUCUAUCACCCAAGACUGAUGGCU